UACGAAGGGAGCUAGCGUUGUUCGGAAUUACUGGGCGUAAAGAGCGCGUAAGCGGUUUAGUAAGUCAGAUGUGAAAGCCCCGGGCUUAACCUGGGAACAGCAUUUGAUACUGCUAGACUAGAGAUCGAAAGAGGAGAGUGGAAUUGUGAGUGUAGAGGUGAAAUUCGUAGAUAUUCGCAGGAACAACAGUGGCGAAGGCGACUCUCUGGUUCGAUACUGACGCUAAGGCGCGAAAGCGUGGGGAGCAAACAGG
rnacentral:rRNA from 1 species